rnacentral:piRNA from 1 species
UACACCAGGCUAGCUGACGCAUGAAC